rnacentral:rRNA from 1 species
AAGACUGAUGGCGACCGGCGCACGGGUGAGUAACACGUAUCCAACCUGCCGUCUACUCUUGGACAGCCUUCUGAAAGGAAGAUUAAUACAAGAUGGCAUCAUGAGUCCGCAUGUUCACAUGAUUAAAGGUAUUCCGGUAGACGAUGGGGAUGCGUUCCAUUAGAUAGUAGGCGGGGUAACGGCCCACCUAGUCUUCGAUGGAUAGGGGUUCUGAGAGGAAGGUCCCCCACAUUGGAACUGAGACACGGUCCAAACUCCUACGGGAGGCAGCAGUGAGGAAUAUUGGUCAAUGGGCGAGAGCCUGAACCAGCCAAGUAGCGUGAAGGAUGACUGCCCUAUGGGUUGUAAACUUCUUUUAUAAAGGAAUAAAGUCGGGUAUGUAUACCCGUUUGCAUGUACUUUAUGAAUAAGGAUCGGCUAACUCCGUGCCAGCAGCCGCGGUAAUACGGAGGAUCCGAGCGUUAUCCGGAUUUAUUGGGUUUAAAGGGAGCGUAGAUGGAUGUUUAAGUCAGUUGUGAAAGUUUGCGGCUCAACCGUAAAAUUGCAGUUGAUACUGGAUAUCUUGAGUGCAGUUGAGGCAGGCGGAAUUCGUGGUGUAGCGGUGAAAUGCUUAGAUAUCACGAAGAACUCCGAUUGCGAAGGCAGCCUGCUAAGCUGCA